GAACCUUAACCGGUUCGUUUCCUUCGGGACAAAGGUGACAGGUGGUGCAUGGUUGUCGUCAGCUCGUGUCGUGAGAUGUUGGGUUAAGUCCCGCAACGAGCGCAACCCUUAUCUUUAGUAGCCAGCACGUUAUGGUGGGGACUCUAGAGAGACUGCCGAGGAUAACUCGGAGGAAGGUGGGGAUGACGUCAAAUCAUCAUGCCCCUUAUGAUCUGGGCUACACACGUGCUACAAUGGUGGUAACAAAGGGAAGCGAAGCCGCGAGGUGGAGCAAACCCCAUAAAAGCCAUCCCAGUUCGGAUUGUAGUCUGCAACUCGACUACAUGAAGUUGGAAUCGCUAGUAAUCGCGAAUCAGAAUGUCGCGGUGAAUACGUUCCCGGGCCUU
rnacentral:rRNA from 1 species